UUGAAAUCACAUCAAAGGUUGUGUAUUUAGACAUACUUGCCGUAUCAAAGUCACAUCGCACACAACUCUUAUCAACUUCCAUCUAUCUGACUUCUGAAUCUGCUUCAUUAAAUCACUUUCGAAAAGAAAAACCACUUCUCUCAAAUCGAUCAUUAUCUUUUCCGAUUUCAUCUUCAACUCAAACUGCAGGUAUGAAUAUACGAUUACUUAUUCAUUUUUAGUAGUGUUUUCAUACAAUCUAUAACCCUAAAUACAAAGGUAUGAAUGCUUAAUACUAGUUAACUAAUGGUGAUGUUCUGAAUUUUGUGGGUGGCGGUGGCUUUUGAUAUUGCCCCUUUAGAUCUAAUUUCCUGAAAAAUAUCUCAUUUAAAUGUGAAGUUUGGCGAGUUUAUUUGAAAUUAGUAGAAUGAUUCAGUGAUGUUUAUGGGGAAAUUGAUUUGAAUGUAUAGAUGAAUAGAUGGUUUUUAACAUUUGAGAUUGAAUUGCUAAUCUUCAUGAAUCCAGUCUGUCCUUGAUAGCACUGGUUCUUUACUCAGCAAAACUGGAAUACAAGUUUUUCUUUAGGAUUAGGAGCAUACCUAAUUUACCUAAUAAUUGCUAGAAGCCUAGAAGAAACACCUACAAGUUUUUUCUUAAUUAUCACAAUCAGUUUAAAGGGAAUGUUUGAUGCAGAUUAAGGAGUCCUGGAUGGAAGAAAGAACAAUGAGGCUUAACUUAGAAAUGAGUAGGCAGAUCCAUUUACACUGUUUAAUAGGAUUUUUGUAGUUUGCUUGCAUCUGUAUCCAUCUAACAAACUUUGUCGUGUUAGAUUAGAUAUAAGUAAUGGCAUUCCAACCCAACUUUGUCAUGUUACAUUAGAUAACAUUAGAUAUUAAAGUAUUGACACCCAAAGCGAACUGAUGAUUUCCCUUGGCUUUUCCAUUUAUUUUGAUGAAUAACUUUAGGUUAAAACACAAAAAAAAAAAAAACAAAAAAAAAACCCUGCAUUAGGCUAUCUCAGUAUUAGGCUAUCUCAGUAUAUAAACUGAAUAUCCUGCUAAAGAAAUAGCUCAACUUUGAGCACAUAAAAGAAUUAUUACUCUGUAAAUCAUGUACAAACUACAAAAUCCCAUUUUAGUGCUGGGAUUUUCUUAUACAUCAACACUUGGUCACCUUCUCUCUCUCUCUUAGUGCCUUUUGAGACUGGUAACAGUCACUGCUGGUGAAUGGCCUCUCAUUUCCAAGUUACCAUGUAACUGUGUAGUGACUUGAUCAGUGAUCUGAUCUCAUGCAGAUCCUGGUCAAAAUUGUAUCAGGCUUCUUAAACAGUUGACUACUCAUCCAUUUUUCCUUUUCCUUUUCCUUUAGCAUUAGCUGCUAGUUUGCUUGCUGGAAAAUGCAGUCUCGCCAUCAAAGGGCGUGGUGCACGCGUUCUUUGGUCAAAACCCCUCACACAAACAGAUCCUGCAAACAAACACGUUUCAAAGAAGUUACAAAGUUGAUGGCCUACCACGCUAUCAGAGCACAAAACGGCCACCUUUGAUAUAGGUGAUCUUAUCUCUCCUCUCUCGAGUUUAGAUCACAAACUAAACACAUUUUAUAAUUUAAUUUAUAAUAGUAUUCACUCCAUACCUUUCCAGAAGCAAUCUUGAAUUUCCUUAGUUGUUUGGCCUAGAAAGAAUUAAGAUUGUUAGUUACUGUUCAGAGAACAUAAUGAACAAAGUUUCCUUUAAUGUAGUUAAUGUUUUACCUUUAAAUAUAGUUGAUACAGAGGUACCGAAAUAAACCGUUCUCCUCUUCUGCUUCCAUAGCCAGCCACUUGGAACCUCCAUUGGUUUAAGACUAGAUUCAUGGUCAGCAAAUACCUACAAAGAAUGCUAUAUGUUAGUCUGCCACACUUGAAAAAUACCUUGUGGAUUAAGACUAGAUUCAUUGUAGAGUAAGAAACGCGUGGGUAUUGCUCUAUCUAUCGCUUCACAUUUGAUUAAAGGGAAUACCUCGUUAACUUGAAAAUAGGUGCCAUUCAGUGGGAAACUUCCUCUCAUUGCUGUUCUGCAUGGAAUCUGUUGAUACAAAUGACACAAAGAUAGUUCAUUGAUUCCGAAGUUUAUAAUUGUAGAGUUGCAUUUGAAUUAUUCAAAGGACAUAGCUGUUGAUCCUCACCAAAAGUGUCCCUCUGACUAUUUUGUUGUAUGCUUCUCUUAUAGCAUUGCAUGAAAAACAUGUUGUCUCACAGCAUAGUUUGCCUGAUAUCACUGAAGCGCCACAUCCUUUCGGUGGAUCAAUGGAUUCAGCAGUCUCACCUGAAAUUGUUCAUAUAAAAUGUAUAUUAGCAACAAAAAAAAUUACGAGAAUCAGAAUGGUUAAUAAUUUCAUCUUUGGGUUCUUUUAAUACUAGUACGCUGACCUGGUGUCCAAAUUGCAAAAAGAUACGGACAAACUUCAUCAGGAACUCUUUUUUCCUGCUGUAUUGUUAAAAAAUAGAAUUGAUUAAAGGGGUAACACAGUUUAGUAUUCUACUAUUCUCAAAGUGGAUAGUUGGGAGAAAUAACAGACCUGUUUCAUUUCCAAUAGAGGAUGAUCAUCUGGAAGUUCAUAGCUGCAUCCAACAAGAGAAGGUGGUGUAAGAUCGAUUCUAUACUAACAUAUAUAUUAAUUACUUUAUAUUCUGGUGGUGCAAAAUAUCUCCUGAUUUUGAUGAAUUAAUUGUUCUGUGUAGCAUUUUUUUUUUUGUUGCAUAAAUGCUACAUUUAGAAAAGGAUUUUAAUAAUUGACUUACACUUGAUGUUCAGUUCGAAGCCGGCCCACAUUCUUCAGCUUUGGUGUUGGGAGAGAAGCAGCU
rnacentral:lncRNA from 1 species